rnacentral:rRNA from 1 species
AUUGAACGCUGGCGGCAUGCCUUACACAUGCAAGUCGAACGGCAGCACGGGUGCUUGCACCUGGUGGCGAGUGGCGAACGGGUGAGUAAUACAUCGGAACAUGUCCUGUAGUGGGGGAUAGCCCGGCGAAAGCCGGAUUAAUACCGCAUACGAUCCACGGAUGAAAGCGGGGGACCUUCGGGCCUCGCGCUAUAGGGUUGGCCGAUGGCUGAUUAGCUAGUUGGUGGGGUAAAGGCCUACCAAGGCGACGAUCAGUAGCUGGUCUGAGAGGACGACCAGCCACACUGGGACUGGGACACGGCCCAGACUCCUACGGGAGGCAGCAGUUGGGAAUUUUGGACAAUGGGCGAAAGCCUGAUCCAGCAAUGCCGCGUGUGUGAAGAAGGCCUUCGGGUUGUAAAGCACUUUUGUCCGGAAAGAAAUCCUUGACUCUAAUACAGUCGGGGGAUGACGGUACCGGAAGAAUAAGCACCGGCUAACUACGUG